rnacentral:rRNA from 1 species
UACUAGAGUAGCACUCGCAUAUCAAUAAGCGGAGGAAAAGAAACUAACAAGGAUUCCCCUAGUAACGGCGAGUGAAGCGGGAAGAGCUCAAAUUUGAAAUCUUAAAGGGUUUCCCUUUACGAAUUGUAGUUUAAAGAAGUGUUUUCUGUUGAGGUUUUGGUAAAAGUUCUUUGGAAUAGGACAUCAUAGAGGGUGAGAAUCCCGUAUUUGACCUUUACUUUCAACUUUGUGAUACACUUUCAAAGAGUCGGAUUGUUUGGGAAUGCAGUCCAAAAUGGGUGGUAAAUUUCAUCUAAAGCUAAAUAUUGGCGAGAGACCGAUAGCGAACAAGUACCGUGAGGGUAAGAUGAAAAGAACUUUGAAAAGAGAGUUAAACAGUACGUGAAAUUGUCAAAAGGGAAGCGUUUGACACCAGUGUUGUUUUUCUGAAAAUCAAUUAAAGAACUGUUUAUGCUAAGCUGUUUAGACUUUAUCAGCUAUCUGCUUAGUUUUGAGCUUUUCUUUAAUGCACUUUUCAGUUAACAAGUCAACAUCAAUUUCUUUUGCUGUAAAAAAGCUUGAGGAAGGUGGCUUGAGAUUCGUCUUAAGUGUUUAUAGCCUCUUGCCUAUGCAGUCGGAGAGAUUGAGGUCUGCAGCGUAGAUCCUUCGAGGCUAAAUGCAUUUGUGCUAAGUUAUAGCAUUUUAUAGACAACUUGUUGACUAUGAUUUGUCUUGUAGCUUACUCGCUUAUGUUAUUUUACCUACGCUUAGGAUGUUGAUCUACAGAGCGAGAGU